CAAGAAAUUGCAUUUGUAGUGAACAUCAACAUGUGAAUAGGUCUAAACCUGGCUUAUCUGUGUCACUGCCCGCAUACCUUAUUCAUUGAGUUAUUUAGUGGAAGGUUAUCCAGGCUUUUACGCAAUACCAUAACGGUCACUUCUCCCGCACUCCCUUUUAUUCUAUUCAUGCAAGAAAUUGCAUUUG